GAAGGUCGUUAUGGGUCCAGCCCUGGGAAGUGCUGCCAAUGCUGUCCUCCAAAAAGGAAGCGAACCAGUAGGAGCCAUGACACUAAAGCAAUGUGUGAAGACAGAGGGAAGGAACGCCACCCAUGAUGCUAAUCGACUGGAAUCUCACUCACCAAAGAGAAAGGAAAACUAACCAUGGCAACCGUGGUCGUGGAAGAUAGAGAGCUGACA